UAAAAGAAAUCACUUUUAGUACCGCCUGCUCAAUGAAUUUUUAAUAGCCGCAGAACAACUGUGCUAAGGUAGCAUAAUCAUUAGCCUAAUAAUUAUAGGAUAGAAUGAAAGGUAGAACAAGUUUCCUCCUUUAUUAAAAGACUAUUUAAAUUUAAGAAUUAAGUAAAAACCCUUAAUUAAUCAGGGGGACGACAAGACCCUGUCGAACUUAACUUCCAGUUUAGCUGGGGCGGCAUAAAAAUCACAUCUUUUUCUUCAUUUCCCCAAAUAACCUCCUAUUUAGAUAAACAAGUUACCGCAGGGAUAACAGCAUAAUUUUUUCCCAAAGACCUUAUAAAAGAAAAAGAUUGUGACCUCGAUGUUGAAUUAAAUCCCUACUAGAGGCAGAACUCUAAAAAGGAAGUCUGUUCGACUUUUAAACAUUU
rnacentral:rRNA from 1 species